rnacentral:rRNA from 1 species
CCUACGGGAGGCAGCAGUAGGGAAUCUUCCGCAAUGGACGAAAGUCUGACGGAGCAAAUGCCGCGUGAGUGAUGAAGGUUUUCGGAUCGUAAAGCUCUGUUGCCAGGGAAAGAACACUUGGGAAGGAAGUAAACUGCUUCUCAAGGUGACGGAACCUAGAAGAAAGCC